GCCUCGUUAGCGCAGUAGGCAGCGCGUCAGUCUCAUAAUCAAAGUCUAGAAAUCUGAAGGUCGUGAGUUCGAUCCUCACACGGGGCA
rnacentral:tRNA from 2 species